GAUUAUGAUGCAUUGCUUGCUCAAUCAAAGGCCAUGAGGGCAGCAGCUGCUGGUCCGAGAGCAGCUCCUUCUGGAUUUAGGUAAUCACAAAAUAGCAUAACAUCAUGAUGGGGAGAAAAUUAUCAAGGAAGUUUUAUGCAGUUGAUGGCGGAGUGAAGCCAGUUACUAUGACGAGGCAGACCUUGGUCAAUGUUCUUGUUCCUAAAUGCUUUAUCCAAUGUGUACAGCUUGGGCAAAGGGCUGUGUAAAAUCUACAUGUGAAACAAAGGGUCUUUCUUAAUACUGUAAUACAAACAACUCAAUGCUUGUUCUUCCUGUUGCUUUAACGAUAAUAUAA
rnacentral:misc_RNA from 1 species